rnacentral:lncRNA from 1 species
GAUCCCAAUGUUAAUGCAUAUGAUGAGAUAGCAUGAGGGAUCUUAUGGUCAAAAUUGGGAUCUUACAAUUAUCUAAGUGACUAAAUUAUUCUAAAAAUUCUAGAGUAACUAAUAAGUUACUAAGGCAACUCUCACAAAAUCCUCAAAUGGUUUUGAGGACCCAUGAAAAUCACCAGAAAAUGUCUUACGGAAUAGCUAUUUGGCUAUUAAAUCAAAUAGUGAUGUAUGACAGAAAUUUAUAUUGCAUAAUUGAUUAUCC